AAUUCAUGAACACAUCAAAACAAUCCUCCAUCAUGAAAAAGUAGGCCUCACCACAGACAUUUAUAUGUUAGAGAAUUUGAUUACCUAAAGUUUCAAAACAUGUGGUUGCAUUUUCUUGACCAUGAGACUUUAGUCAGAACUCUAAAAACAAUUAGUUUUUCACUUAUUCAUCAGGUAAAUAUGUUCCUUAUACGUUAAAUCUUCCACUAAGUGUUUUGCUAAGAAAAAGACAUUCAUAAAGAAAUAAUCAAUCUACUUAAAAGACUGAUUAUAGUGUUUGUCUCCAUGGUUCUCUACAUCAGAUGACACACUGUUCCUCUGCUAAGCAAUGGUCAGUCUAGUCAAGAGUCACUUGCUAGAAGACUUAGUUCUUUCCUGGAGAGGAUUUGCAAGAGGAAUUCAUCUGGAGUAUGGCCUUGGCACCUUUGUUUCUGCAGGCGUAAAAGGCAGAGCAGACUGUUCCUAUGCCAGGCAUUAUCUAAAUCUCCUGGGGUAAAUCAGAGAAGACAAGAAUACUACUAUUGCAAAGAACACAGUUCAGAAAAGGUAAUCAAGAUAUAUUUUUCGACUUCCCUAUUCUUCUGUACUUAAAGUAUUCAAUGAAUUUUUUCUUUAAGAGUGUAGGUGGGCAAGAGUCCAACACAAGACCAUGUAUGUCCUACUGAAAUGGGAGGGAAGGUUAUCUGAAUUAGAUUUGUUACACAAUUCUAAAAUGAGGUAAACUGUAUUUAUAAGAUAUAAAAUCCAUGAAACAUCAUUGAAGGUUGCUGCCAAUUAGUAAAAUAGAGAGAUUUGCAUAUAAACAUGAAAUUAUGCACAUGCGGAAAGCACUUUCUCUGAUAGCACAUUUAUAGUUUUCCACAAAUUAGCUGAGAAAAACUUUAGAUGAAUGAGUAGAUUUAUGAAAAAACUACAACAAAAUUAAGACAUGUUUAUAAGUUCCUAAUCAUGGUUCUUUAGGAUUGUAAUUUUAUAGGAUAUUUGCAAAGAGACAUU
rnacentral:sRNA from 1 species